UACGUAGGGUGCGAGCGUUAAUCGGAAUUACUGGGCGUAAAGUGUGCGCAGGCGGCGCUGCAAGUCGAGUGUGAAAUCCCCGAGCUUAACUUGGGAAUUACGCUCGAAACUACGGUGCUAGAGUAUGGCAGAAGAAGGUGGAAUUCCACGUAUAACGGUGAAAUGCGUAGAGAUGUGGAGGAACACCGAUGGCGAAGGCAGCCUUCUGGGCCAAUACUGACGCUCAUGCACGAAAGCGUGGGGAGCAAACAGG
rnacentral:rRNA from 1 species